CUACACUAUCCUCUUCGUCGGCAGCGUCAGAUGUGUAUAAGAGACAGUUAGAUACCCUGGUAGUCCUAGCCGUAAACGAUGGACACUAGGUGCUUCUGACAUAUGGUUGGGGGUGCCGUAGUUAACGCGUUAAGUGUCCCGCCUGGGGACUACGACCGCAAGGUUGAAACUCAAAGGAAUUGACGGGGGCCCGCACAAGCGGUGGAGCACGUGGUUUAAUUCGAUGCUAACCGAAGUACCUUACCCGGAUUUGACAUGCAGGAAGUACUCCUUUCGAAAGUCAGGAGGACCAGUAACCAAUCUGGUACCUGCACAGGUGUUGCAUGGCUGUCGUCAGCUCGUGCUGUGAGGUGUUGGGUUAAGUCCCGCAACGAGCGCAACUCCCGCCUUUAGUUGCCAUCAGGUGCUGAUUUAUCAGCGCGCUGGGCACUCUAAAGGGACUGCCUCCGAUAAGGGGGAGGAAGGUGGGGCUGACGUCAAGUCGGUAUGGCCUUUAUGUCCGGGGCGACACACGUGCUACAAUGGCCACCAUAGAAGGAUGCCAACCCGCGAGGGGGAGCUAAUCCCUAAAAGUGGCCCUAGUUCGGAUCGCAGUCUGCAAUUCGACUGCGUGAAGCUGGAAUCGCUAGUAAUCGCCGGUCAGCCAAACGGCGGUGAAUACGUUCCCGGGCCUUGUACACACCGCCCGUCAAGCCAGCCGAGUCGAGUGCACCCGAAGUCACUGACCCAACCCUUUUAGGGAGGGAGGUGCCGAAGGUGUGCUUGGUAAGGAGGGCUAAGUCGUAACAAGGUAGCCGUACGGGAACGUGCGGCUG
rnacentral:rRNA from 1 species